CACUCACCACUCCCCCCCCCUCCCCCAACAGUCCAACACACCCUCCUCACACGUUUUCUCUUCAGAGCUUUCUGGUUUUACCCUCAAACAAACCCUAGCCAUCUAACCUCCACCACCGGCGCAGGGAGUGAGGCAGUACCGCCGUCCGUCGCGCUGUCGUCGUGCUCCAGGUCUCCAACCCCUGUUCAUUCUCACAGUCUCACCAAUUGCAGCUUCUUCGUUGAGAUCGAUAUUCGCGUCUGGUUUUCGUCUUCUCAGCCGCGCUUCUGCCGUCGUCAGUCGUCGUGUCCGUCGCCUGAUCGCCAUUUUCCGUCGCACUCAACAGAUCUUCCUCACACUCUGCCCAAACUGCUCAGAUCAAAGGUAAUGGCUUCUCUGCUCACUCCUCCACGCCGCGCGCCUCCUCCACGUCACCGGAGCCCUUGGUCCUGAGAGUCUUGUGUUCGAUUGUCACGGCGGAGGGCCAUAUACCAACGUCGCCGAUGGCCGGAUUCUAAAGUGGGAAGGAGAUGAAGUUGGUUGGACUUAGUUUGCUGUCACCUCUUCCAAUAGUUGUUUAUUUCUUCUUUUUGUUGGAUAGCUUACAAGGCAGCCAGAAGCACCAGACAGGGCAGUGGCUCAAUGGCAUCUCUGGAAGAGCAUAGUGGCAGAAUGGUGUGCCGCACUUGAAGAGGAGAAGAUUAGGAGAUCUUGAUGUUGGAAAUGGUGGAAUGAUGCGACAAAAGAGGGGAGCACACAGACAAGCUUGAUACUACUCUUGGCAAGAGCCCACAAAAUCAUGUUAAAGGUGUUGAUGGAUGGAAGAGGACGCCUAGAGAGCAAGCCAGUGAAGAAAUCAACAUAUUUAUCAAGUGAUUGGGACUGAGAGUGAGAGUGAGAGUGUAGGGAUGAAGUUGAAGGGAAGCAAAGACAGAGAGCGGAGUGGGGAAACAGAAUAAGGAGAGAGCAUGGGGGUUUGAAGAGCAUGCCUUAACAUGAUUCGUGAGAAUGAGAACAAUGACAACAUUCUUGCAAUCAAAUCAAGAGAUGUUAAGAAUUAAUGCAGUGAGAAUUAGAGAAAUUGAAGAAGAUAUGAGAUAGAGAAAUGACUAUUGUCAGUGAGAAUUACACUGCAACACUCCCUUUCUUCGUGUCCCGGGAAUGGGCCCCACCUCUCACAAACCGAUUCUCUUCUUGGUUCUUACCAUUAACAAACUGCAACCCGUCCCACUAUAUUCCAAUCCAGUCGUAACUAAUUCUCCUUCCUCAUUCCUAUUGUGCUCUCACUCUUAUGAUAGUCUUAAGUCUUUAGCCCAAACAGAGGCCUUCCUCUCUAUUCCACUCUUGACUUGGGCCGGUUGAUGAGCGAUCCGGGUCAGUGCUUGCAACAAGAGGAGUAUGGUAAAAUUGAAUGCAAUGAGUUGAAGACUGCUUCCACCUGAGAGACUGACAGUAGUAUCAAGCUUAUUCGCGCGAAGCACAAGAGAUUCUCUUUGAUUUGCACAAGCUAUCAAUGAGAGUGUUUGGAACCAAGUCCUUACAAAGCAUUUCUUCAAAGAGACUCAAGGCUUCAUCUAGCAUUUUAGAAGCCAUUAAUCAUGAUAUUGUAACUUUGAAUAUCCGGAGAAAUUCCCUCAGCAAGCAUUUCAGAGAAUAAAUGAAAAGCAUCAGUUACAACUAAGGGAAUUUCUCCGGAUGUUCAAAGUUACAAUAUCAUGAUUAAUGGCUUCUGCAAAAGUAAAAUGCUAGAUGAAGCCUUGAGUCUCUUUGAAGAAAUGCUUCGUAAGGACUUGGUUCCAAACACGGUAACUUACACCACUCUUAUUGAUAGCUUGUGCAAAUCAAAGAGAAUCUCUUAUUCUUUGGAGCUUUUGGUCCAGAUGCAUGAUAGAGGUUAACCUACAAAUGUAGUCACUUAGAAUUCCUUGUUGAAUGGGAUGUUCAAAAACCAACAACUUGACAAGGCACUUGUGUUAUUCAAUCAAAUGAAAGAGAGUGGCAUUGAUCCAAAUAUACACAUACAAAGGUGGAAGACUUUCAGAUGCAAGAGCGAUUUUCUAAGACCUUUCUGUUAAAGGCUGUCCUCCAAAUGUGAGGACAUACAAUAUUAUGAUCAAUGGGCUCUGCAAAAAGGAACUGUUUGAAGAAAUAUUGAUCCUGUUGUUUGAAAUGGAACACAAUGGUUGCUUACCAAAUGAGGUGACUUUUGUAAUUAUCAUUCAUGCUUUCACACAGAUGAGUAUGACAUGGCGGAGCAUGUUCUUCGGGAAGUUGACAAAAGAAGGUACCGACUUGCAGCUCUCUAAUGUGAAUUUAUCUUAUCUUCUUUCUCUUUGAUUUCUGUUUGGCCCCUUCGGAAUCUUCUCAACUUAUUUGGUUUCUAGUUGAACCCAUACUCACUGGAUUAUAUAUUGGUUGAGUUCUCCUAUAUGCACUUAGAUAUUUUACAUGUGCAUGUGGCACAUUUAAUUUAAGAAUCUACGAUUGCUCAUCAUUUCUAUGUUAGCCUGUUAGCACACUUUCUUAAUCUACGAUUUUUCAUAAUCAUCCUGAACAUUCAUACACCAAAGUUCAUAAAAUCCAGAGACUUUUAUAUUUCACAUACAAAUUUGAACAAACAGCCUACUUAGUAAAGAAGAGAUCAACAAUUCUGGCAUGUGAGUCAAGUGACACCCAAUGAGAACUUGAAAUAGAUCUCAACAAAAAUAUACACAAACCAUGACAACUGUACCUUAUGGCAUUGGCAACAUGGCUAAACAGAUGCCAUUAGGCUCUCUUUAAAUAUCUGUUAAAACAAUCUCCAGUAGCGUGUUUUUAAUGGUUUCUUUCAUAGUUAACUCAUGAAUUUUCACCGUCCCUUUUAACAAAGCAUCCAAAGUUAUACAUUCCAUUAUGCAAAAUGCCAUGUUAGGUCUUCUUUGCGUUGUCUUUUCUUUUUCUAUUUUUUUCCAACUUUUUCCAUUUCCAAGAUUUUGCAAAUAUAGGAUUUCUUUUUUUCCUUUUUUUUUUUUCUAUUUACGCCUCUUUCUUUGAAAAUUAUGAAAAUGGAACACUAAAAAUAAAAUAGAAAACGGUCUUGCAAACCAAACAAAACUUGAAAAACCCAAGCAAUACAUGUCGCAGUUAAGAGCUUAUGAAUUUGAUUGCAUGACAAUUAUAACAACUAAUCAUUACAACCUUAAUCACCAAUCAAUAUUAAUAGCAUAAAAGCUUAUUGCAAGACUAGUGAACUGCUAUGAUUGAGGUUAACACAAAACUACUAAUUGUGACAACAGAAUUAGUAUAUAAAUAAAAAUCAUAUAAUUGAGACCAAACUUUGAUAUUGAGUGAGAGAGAUUAUCUUCUAAAUACUUAAUUGGUAUGUACCAUGAUUAUCUGUUAGGAACUAAUUUCCAAGUCAAGGUUAAAGUACACAUGGUAUGGAGAAAAUGUCAUGGAGGUGAACUCCAAUUAUCCUAAACAAAAUUCAAGUUAAAUAAAUAAUAGAAGAAAGGUACCUAUUCAAACCUAGAUAAAAGUUCUAAAUGUCAACCUUAGAAAAGAAUAGUGUGGUAACAAUAAAUUUUUGACUGAUAACUGUAAAGCAAGAGAUCCAUGCCAUCCUUAAUAUAUUGUCUAGUAGACCUUGAAAGCUACCUUUCUUUUCAAGGCAUUCAUAUCUCCACCACUUUUAACAUGAGAACCACUUUCUUCAUUUCCAAAUAAGACUCUUCCAAGUUACUACUUUACAAAAUCAGAAUAUAAUGUUUGAUCUGUCAAAUUAAAGGAGGGUAAGUAAAAUAUAUCCUCUCUUAAUACUGUUAAUUCAUUGUCUAUGUAAAGUCUUGAACAGUGAAUUCUUGAUAAUAAUAGAAGGUUCUCCAGCUUUUUUAAAUUGGAGCCAGUUUUCCUUUAAAAAAUUACUAAAUAUAAAGAGUAAUAAUCAAGUUAUUUAAAGCAUUAAGUAAAGUUAUUUAUUGCCUGACUAAGCAUUUAGAUAAGCUGCGUUCUAAUUUGAUUGGUACAUUGGGUUGUUGGAGCCUCAUAUGGAUCCAAUUUUCAGAGCUAAGAUGAUAAAUUGGAUAAUAAUUUUGCUGUGGUUGUUCCUUGGUAUAGUCUUAUAGAGCUGGAUGCAAGGAGGCUGAGGGUUCCAACAAUGAGCUAUUGAGUGCCAUCAAGAAUAUCCCAAAUGAUCAGUUUUCUUCUGGUAAGAUUUACUUCAAUAUUAACUAUGAAACAAACAUGAAAGGUAGACAUUAGACAAACGGUAGUUUCAUUUUUAGACAAGUUUCACGGUCUCCUUAUAACAAGCAUUCUCAGCGCAGGCAUUCUCCCUUCUCUUCUCUUGAUAAUUCCACGUUUGUUGCCAUAUUAGUUUUUAUAUGAAAACACUGAAAUUUUCAAUAUCCUUUGUAUUAAACAACUGUAGAAGCAAAUUAAAUGGAAGUUUUUAAUAAUUAAGAAGAAGCUAAGAAAUUACAAGUUUCUAUUUUGGCCGAAAUAUGUGCAGGAGUGCGUGGAUAGCUUCUUGAAAAGCAUAUAUAUGUAGAAUUGGGUGAUUGAGUGAGGUCAAAGAAUGAUUCAUUCUCAAAAUUUGGAUUAGUAGAGCAAAUAAAUACCACUGAUGAUAAGAGUGACUAUUUGUGGUACUCAUUAAGCAUUGAUUUUGAAGAUGAUGUUAGUGCUCAAACUGUUAUUCACAUCGAAUCCUUUGGACAUUCCCUUCAUGCUUUCAUAAAUGGGAAGCUUGCAGGGAGUGAAAAAGGAAAUAGUCUUUUUCUUCUUCUUUUUUGAAUAUAUAUACUAUAUACUAUAUAAGCAUAUUUAAUAGAGGAAAUUUUGUUUCUUUGAAGCAUUGGCCUUGUUAUCUUUUCUCCUAUGUGAUUUAGAAACUAGAAGUCAAAAUAUUUCCAUGCUAUAUAUAUAAGCUGAUGUGAUUCUUAUACAAAUCAGAACUAUUGACCUCUCCUCCCAGCAACGAUCAUAUCAGAUUGGUCUUCAAGGUGAAGACUUAGGUCAAUCUAGUGGAAGUGUUGGACAGUAGAACCCACAGUCAAACUUACCCUCAGAAUCAGGAAGAUCAGGGCCAGUUUUGUCACUAGAGUGUCCUAAUCCUAAGCAGAUCAUCUUUUCUAUUAAAUUCGCCAGUUUUGGCACGCCGAGUGGAACUUGUGGAAACUUCAACCAUGGUAGCUGCAGCAGCAACAAGGCUCUAUCCAUUGUUAAGAAGGCCUGCAUUGGAUUAAGCAGCUAUAAAAUUAAUGUAUCAAUUGAUAUAUUUGGAGAUCCAUGUAGAAGAGUAACUAAAAGUCUUGCUGUUGAAGCUUCUUGUACAUAGACAUUGUUGCUUCAUGAAGUACCUACCCUUCUUCAUAUCUUGGACAUGAAGGAUCUUAGAUUUUUUUUAGUUGAAAAAUCAUGAUUACUGCUGAUUGAUUAGCCAAAUGUAAAAACGGUGAAUGAAAUAUUCUAAAUAAAAUAGUAUAUUGAAUGUAAUUCCAUUAGUUCAUACCUUA